CUUCUUUGUUAUUGAUAUCUUCAAUAAGGAGUAAUGUGUCGUAUGAUUACAUGCAAGUGUAGACAGUCGUAUAAGUAGUAAGUAAAGAGUUAUCGUCUCCAUAGGGGCUGUUGUAUAAAUUAAUUGUAAAGUUAAUUAUAAAACAAUUUGGUAGAAAAUAAGUAAAGAAAAAUCUUGCUGAUGAGAGACAAAAAUAAUGUUAAGGAUGUAGUCAUAUUUCAAAUACCUACAAAAUAAAACAAUAUACAUUACAGAAAAAUAAUCACAAUAAAAAGAUUAAAUACAAGAUUUAAUAAAACAUAACAUGAAUAGACUAGAACAAGUAUUUCACUUAACACGAGUUCAUUGGAAAUCAAGGAAUAUCACGAAGGGUCGUGGCAAUAUGAAAAUUCAUUAAUCCAAAUUUUAAUUAAGGAGUUAUUCCACAUAUGUCUACGUCAAAACUAACUAAGAAAUCAUCAUUUCGGGCAUUUAUACAGUUUAUGCAUAUAACAAUCAUCUUUCGAUAUCGACAUGAGAUACACCAUUUAGAUCUUUUGUCUAUUAACUAUUGUCUCUUCUCAGAUUAAACAGUUAAUUCAUUAACCUACAAAUGUUGGCCAUACAUUUACAAGUAUUAACAUUAAUUAAACCUAAAUGAAUGAAAUAAUUAUUUGCACAAUAUAUUCACAAUACAAAAAUCAAUUAACUCAAAUCAUGAUUCAUACUUAUUCUAAAUAAACAAAACUAAGUAAUGUAAUAUUAAAUUGAAAACAUAAAAAUGAGAUGCAAACUUGUCUUUCAACACAAAAAAAUCAAUUAACAAUAAAGAGAAAGGGAAGAAGAGUAGCCGAGGGGGUUAUCCAAGGCCAAUUCACAAUAAUAAGAGAAAACAGUUAAAUUGGAACGAGUUAUCUGCAACUGUUUCUUGCGGUUUCCCAUGGUGGCUCUCCUUCUUGUCUUUACGUUAAUUCAUCAAAAUGCUCUCAAGUUUCUCCCUCUGGCACUGCUCUCAUUUUCGGCAAGUAAACUACCUUAUUUUGUGGCAAACAAGUGUUUAACAAGUCAUGAGAAAGACAAGAACACUUAAGAGAUUUUUCUUUGAAAACUGGUACAUUUUUUAAUGAAGUGAAAGUCUCCUUUUAUAACCUUUAAGCCCCAACAUCCCUUGCUAUUUUUAGC
rnacentral:lncRNA from 1 species